rnacentral:lncRNA from 1 species
AAUUAAUUAAAUAUAUACUUGUAUCCUUUAGAACAUAAAAUGUCAUCUUUUAUAUUCUGAUAAUUAAACAAUUACCAUAAGUUAUACAGAUUAAAAAUAAUGCUAAAAUACUAAUUAUAAGUAGAAAAUGAAAAAGAAAAAAAGAAAAUAGAAUAUAACAACAAAUUUAAAAAGUAAUGAGUAACAAACAUUGACAUUAAAUAGUUUAGAAAGAUAUGUAUUGAACAUCAAAAUUAAUUAAAUAUAUACUUAUAUCCUUAAAAACAUAAAAUGUCAUCUUCUAUAUUCUGAUAAUUAAACAAUUAACAUAAGUUAUACAGAUUAAAAAAUAUGCUAAAAUACUAAUUAUAAGUAGAAAAUGAAAAAGAAAAAAAUAAAAUAGAAUAAUUACAAGAAAAUGAAAAAGAAAAAAAGAAAAUAGAAUAAUAACAACAAAUUUAAAAUGAGACCGUAUGGUAUAAAGGAAACCAACUCAAUAAGUUUUCCAGUGUUACACUAGCACCACGUUUAUUAUUGUGAGAUCCUCAUAAUCCUAACAAAAAUCUCAAUCUCAUCAAAACAAUACGAAAAACCCUAUCAUAAUCAUUGGUGAUGCAAGAAUAAAAUUGAAAAUAACAGGAAACACAAAUGAAUACAGUUAAAAAAUAAACAAGUUAGAGAUGUAUAACCUUCAAAAUAUUAACCUAUAUCAGAAAUCACUUGAUCCGUACAUUUGAUAGGUAAGAAAGAAAAUUACUCAUAAAAGAUAGGAAAAAAAAGGAAAAUAUGACCAUUUUUCAGCAGUACUUUUUUUUUACCCAUUGUAUUUUGUUUAUACAAUCAUAAAGUGAUUAUGAACCAAAGAUUUCUAUUAAUUAAUGUAAGCUAAAUAUUUCCAUUAAGUACAUCCUCAAUUAUAUAAAUCAAUAAAACAUGUAAUGAUUAACAAACAUUGGCAUUAAAUAGUUUAGAAAGAUAUGUAUUGAACAUCAAAAUUAAUUAAAUAUAUACUUAUAUCCUUAAGAACAUAAAAUGUCAUCUUCUCUAUUCUGAUAAUUAAACAAUUAACAUAAGUUAUACAGAUUAAAAAUAAUGCUAAAAUACUAAUUAUAAGUAGAAAAUGAAAAAGAAAAAAAGAAAAUAGAAUAAUAACAACAAAUUUAAAAUGUAAUGAGUAACAAACAUUGACAUUAAAUAGUUUAGAAAGAUAUGUAUUGAACAUCAAAAUUAAUUAAAUAUAUACUUAUAUCCUUAAGAACAUAAAAUGUCAUCUUCUAUAUUCUGAUAAUUAAACAAUUAACAUAAGUUAUACAGAUUAAAAAAUAUGCUAAAAUACUAAUUAUAAGUAGAAAAUGAAAAAGAAAAAAAGAAAACAGAAUAAUUAUAAGAAAAUGAAAAUGAGAUCGUGUGGUAUAAAGGAAACCAACUCAAUCAUUUUUCCAGUGUUACAUUAGCAUCACCUUUAUUAUUGUGAGAUCCUCAUAAUCCUAACAAACAUCUCAAUCUCAUCAAAACAAUACAAAAAACCCGAUCAUAAUCAUUGGUGAGGCAAGAAUAAAAUUGAAAAUAAGAGGAAACACAGAUGAAUAGAGUGACAAAAUAAACAAGUUAGAGAUGUGUAACCUUCAAAAGAUCAACCUAUAUCAGAAAUCACUUGAUCUGUACAUUUGAUAGAUAAGAAAGAAAAUUACUCAUAAAAGAUAGAAAAAAAAGGAAAAUAUGACAAUUUUUCAGCAGUACAUAUUUUUUUACCCUUUGUAUUUUGUUUAUACAAUCAUAAAGUGAUUAUGAACCAGAGAUUUCUAUUAAAUAAUGUAAGCUAAAUAUUUCUAUUAAGUACAUCCUCAAUUAUAUAAAUCAAUCAAACAUGUAAUGAGUAACAAACCUUGACAUUAAAUAGUUUAGAAAGAUAUGUAUUGAACAUCAAAAUUAAUUAAAUAUAUACUUAUAUCCUUAAGAACAUAAAAUGUCAUCUUCUAUAUUCUGAUAAUUAAACAAUUAACAUAAGUUAUACAGAUUAAAAAAUAUGCUAAAAUACUAAUUAUAAGUAGAAAAUGAAAAAGAAAAAAAGAAAAUAGAAUAAUUACAAGAAAAUGAAAAAGAAAAAAAACAAAAUAGAAUAACUACAAGAAAUUUAAAAUGAGACCGUAUGGUAUAAAGGAAACCAACUCAAUCAGUUUUCCAGUGUUACACUAGCACCACGUUUAUUAUUGUGAGAUCCUCAUAAUCCUAACAAAAAUUUCAAUCUCAUCAAAACAAUACGAAAAACCCUAUCAUAAUCAUUGGUGAUGCAAGAAUAAAAUUGAAAAUAACAGGAAACACAAAUGAAUAGAGUUAAAAAAAUAAACAAGUUAGAGAUGUAUAACCUUCAAAAUAUUAACCUAUAUCAUAAAUCACUUGAUCCAUACAUUUGAUAGAUAAGAAAGAAAAUUACUCAUAAAAGAUAGGAAAAAAAAGGAAAAUAUGACCAUUUUUCAGCAGUACGUAUUUUUUUACCCAUUGUAUUUUGUUUAUACAAUCAUAAAGUGAUUAUGAACCAAAGAUUUCUAUUAAUUAAUGAAAGCUAAAUAUUUCCAUUAAGUACAUCCCCAAUUAUAUAAAUCAAUAAAACAUGUAAUGAGUAAAAAUCAUUGGCAUUAAAUAGUUUAGAAAGAUAUGUAUUGAACAUCAAAGUUAAUUAAAUAUAUACUUAUAUCCUUAAGAACAUAAAAUGUCAUCUUCUAUAUUCUGAUAAUUAAAAAAUUAACAUCAGUUAUACAGAUUAAAAAAUAUGCUAAAAUACAAAAAUUAAGUAGAAAAUGAAAAAGAAAAAAAGAAAAAAGAAUAAUUACAAGAAAAUCAAAAUCUAAAAAAGGAAAUAGUAUAAUUACAAGAAAAUGAAAAUGAGACCGUAUGGUAUAAAGGAAACCAACUCAAUCAGUUUUCCAGUGUUACGCUAGCGCCACCUUUGGUAUAAAGGAAAUCAAUCUUCUAUACGAAAAAUGAAAAUGAAAAUGAGACCGUAUGGUAUAAAGGAAAUCAAUCUUCUAUACGAAAAACCCUAUCAUAAUCAUUGGUGUGCAAGAAUAAAAUUGAAAAUAAGAGGAAACACAAAUGAAUAGAGUGAUAAAAUAAACAAGUUAGAGAUUUGUAAGCUUCAAAAGAUCAACCUAUAUCAGAAACUAAUUGAUCUGUACAUUUGAUAAAUAAGAAAGAAAAUUACUCAUAAAAGAUAGAAAAAAAAGGAAAAUUUGACAAUUUUUCAGCAGUACGUAUUUUUUUACCCAUUGUAUUUUGUUUAUACAAUCAUAAAGCGAUUAUGAACCAGAGAUUUCUAAUAAGUAAGGUAAGGUAAACAUUUUUAUUAAGUACAUCCUCAAUUAUAUAAAUCAAUCAAACAAGUAACGAGUAACAAACAUUGGCAUUAAAUAGUUUAGAAAGAUAUGUAUUGAACAUCAAAAUUAAUUAAAUAUAUACUUAUAUCCUUAAGUACAUAAAAUGUCAUCUCCUAUAUUCUGAUAAUUAAAAAGUUAUCAUAAGUUAUACAGAUUAAAAAAUAUGCUAAAAUACUAAUUAUAAGUAGAAAAUGAAAAAGAAAAAAAGAAAAUAGAAUAAUUACAAGAAAAUGAAGAAGAAAAAAAGAAAAUAGAAAAAUUACAAGAGAAAAAGAAAAAAAGAAAAUAGAAUAAUUACAAGAAAAUGAAGAAGAAAAAAAGAAAAUAGAAAAAUUACAAGAAAAUGAAAAUGAGACAGUAUGUAUUAAAGGAAACCAACUCAAUCAUUUUUCCAGUGUUACAUUAGCACCACCUAUAUUAUUGUGAGAUCCUCAUAAUCCUAGCAAACAUAUCAAUCUCAUCAAAACAAUAUGAAAACCCUAUCAUUAUCAUUGGUGACGCAAGAACAAAAUUGAAAAUAAGAGAAAACACAGAUGAAUAGGGUGACAAAAUAAAAAAGGUAGAGAUGUGUAACCUUCAGAAGAUCGACCUAUCUCAGAAAUCACUUGAUUUGUACAUUUGAUAGAUAAAAAUGAAAAUUACUCAUAAAAGAUAGAAAAAAAAAGAAAAUAUAACAAUUUUUCAGCAGUACGUAUUUUUUUACCCUUUGUAUUUUGUUUAUACAAUCAUAAAGUGAAUACGAACCAGAGAUCUCUAUUAAAUAAUGUAAGCUAAAUAUUUUCAUUAAGUACAUCCCCAAUUAUAUAAAUCAAUCAAACAUGUAAUGAGUAAAAAACAUUGACAUUAAAUAGUUUAGAAAGAUAUGUAUUGAAUAUCAAAAUUAAUUAAAUAUAUACUUAUAUCCUUAAGUACAUAGAAUGUCAUCUUCUAUAUUCUGAUAAUUAAACAAUUAACAUAAGUUAUACAGAUUAAAAAAUAUCUUAGAGUAAUUUUGGAUUGAGUUUCAUGUUCCCUUAUAUAUCAGCAUUUAUUUAGAAUUUAUUUUUAAGUAUAUUUUAAUAUAUUUUCAUACGUCUUAAGUUGAUAAGUAGUGGUGAAUUAUAGAUUAUGGAUUAUUAUAGGUAUUCCUAUAUUACUGGAUGGAUGGUUAAAAAUCUUAAUUAAAUUAGAUUAAAGGUAUGGACAAAGCAUGGACUAACUCCCAAGACAUUGGAAUCUAUUGAAGACUCAGUUGAAGCUGGAACCAAGCAUUUCAAUCAUUGUUGGGGAAAGAAAAGCCGGUAGAGUGAGAUGUUAUGGAAGAACUGUCACACCAUCAUUGUUGAAAAAAAUGAAGAAAUUUCUUUAAUGAAAAUGCAAUGAUGGUAAGAUUUCUGAAUGGUGCAAAGAUGGAAGCAAUGGAGGAACUUUUGAAAAAGCAUGUAUAUGCAACAAAAUCCACAUUUAAGUGAAGAGGAAGUAGAUGAUAAGAUGAGAGAAGCUUUGCACAAUGAUAAUAUUCCAACACCACACUCAUCGCGACAUCAACAUAUGCUCCUACUCUCAUCAAAAGGUACUAUAAUUGACAUUAAUAAAAUCAACAUUAUUUUAUAAGUGUUGAGUUGUUAUUUUAUAGUUGUUUAAUUUUUUAAACAUGCGGUGUUAGUUUUAUAAGUUACUCAUUAAGUUAGUAUAUAUUCAUGCUAGCUAGGUUGAACAUUGUGACAUAUGUUCCAAUGCACAUUUUCAUUAUGUUUUUAAAAAAUUAACAUUGUAUAUUGGUUUGAUGGUAAGAUUCAUGUAUAAAUUGCAUAGAUUCGAGUUUGAUUCUAAGCGUGCAAAGUUCGUUAGUGAGUAAUAUAUAACUAUCAAUUGUUGUGGAUUGAAUCAUUAUUGCAUGGAUGUUGUAGUCAUUGAAGCCUUGCAAUGCCGCUUUGAUUAUUGUAAACUUUGUUAUUGAUAAAUAUAUAAAGAAAUUCUUCAUAUUAAGAGGUUAGAAACAAAGAUGAUCCUGACAAUGAACAAAUGAUGAUCUUCAAGAUGACGAUAAUCUUCAAUAUAAUCAAGAUGAUGAUGAUCUGUCAAUAUGAAUCAAGAGUGAUGAUGAUCUUCAAUAUGAUCAAGAUGAUAAUGAUCUUCAAUAUGAUAGUUUUCAAGAUGAUGAUUCUCCAUGGACCUCAACACAAUGAAUUGAUAAAGACCGCCAUUGAUUUAAAUAUUGACGAUUGUGUUUUGUUUUAUGGAUUUACAUAAAGCCAACUAGCUAUAACUUUUAUGCUGUGAUUUAUUUUGAAAUAUUUUGUAUUUUUUGAAUUUCAAAGAGUUGAUUACACUUCAUCUUAUUAAUACUUUCAUAUUUAAAUAUGUGUUUUCAAUUUAAAAGUGUGUUUCUUCUAAUAAUAUUGAAAAAUAUCUAUUAGAUAAUGUGAAGGUAUAUGAUCAUAAAUGUAUCACCAUAUAAAGGAACAAAAAUCUCUAUCUAAAUUAGUAUCGUUUCAAUCUAGUGCCCACAGGACAAUGUUUAAAUACUAAUAAUGUUUGCUUUUCAAAGUCUUGACGUUAUAUAUAAUUUGAUUGUUUUUUGCAUCUAUAGACAACGGCUUUUUAUGCGUUGCCUUAAUCAAAAACCGUAGUAUAUUCCUUUGUUUUAGCGGCGGUUAUGUGUGUUGUGUAAAUGAAAUUAUAGAUUGAAGCUACGGUUUACAUCUGUUGGUUAUUAAUAACCGUUGCCUUUCACAUGUUUAGGGGACAGUAUUUUAAUGUUGCUGACUUGAAACCGCAGCUUAAAGCAGUUCAACUAAAACCGUGGACUUUGAUAUUUAAGGCGAUGGUGUUCGAGAUCCGUAGGUAGAAUCAAAAAAACCGCCGCUGCUAAAUGGAAUAAGCAAUGGCUGUUAUUCAACGCUUGAUAAAACCGUCCCCUAAGAGCAUUAAAGGCAACGGUUUUAUACCGUUAAUGGGGGGCGUUUUAUUCGUUGUUGCCUAAAAACCCAUGUUUUUGGUUGUAGUGACAUUAAAUAGUUUAGAAAGAUAUGUAUUGCACAUCAAAAUUAAUUAAAUAUAUACUUAUAUCCUUAAGAACAUAAAAUGUCAUCUUCUAUAUUCUGAUAAUUAAACAAUUAACAUAAGUUAUACAGAUUAAAAAAUAUGCUAAAAUACUAAUUAUAAGUUGAAAAUGAAAAAGAAAAAAAGAAAAUAGAAUAAUUACAAGAAAAUGAAAAAGAAAAAAAGAAAAUAGAAUAAUUACAAGAAAAUGAAAAUGAGACUGUAUGUAUUAAAGGAAACCAACUCAAUCAUUUGUUAGGAUUAUUGUGAGAUCCUCAUAAUCCUAACAAACAUCUCAAUCUCAUCAAAACAAUACGAAAACCCUAUCAUAAUCAUUGGUGACGCAAGAAUAAAAUUGAAAAUAAGAGGAAACACAGAUGAAUAGGGUGACAAUAUAAGAAAGGUAGAGAUGUGUAACCUUCAAAAGAUCAACCUAUAUCAGAAAUCACUUGAUUUGUACAUUUGAUAGAUAACAAUGAAAAUUACUCAUAAAAGAUAGAAGAAAAAAAAGAUGACAAUUUUUCAGCAGUACGUAUUUUUUUUACCCUUUGUAUUUUGUUUAUACAAUCAUAAAAUGAAUAUGAACCAGAGAUUUCUAUUAAAUAAUGUAAGCUAAAUAUUUUCAUUAAGUAAAUCCCCAAUUAUAUAAAUCAAUCAAACAUGUAAUGAGUAAAAAACAUUGACAUUAAAUAGUUUAGAAAGAUAUGUAUUGAACAUCAAAAUUAAUUAAAUAUAUACUUAUAUCCUUAAGAACAUAAAAAAUCCCCAAUUAUAUAAAUCAAUCAAACAUGUAAUGAGUAAAAAACAUUGACAUUAAAUAGUUUAGAAAGAUAUGUAUUGAACAUCAAAAUUAAUUAAAUAUAUACUUAUAUCCUUAAGAACAUAAAUUGUCAUCUUCUAUAUUCUGAUAAUUAAAAAAUUCACAUAAGUUAUACAGAUUAAAAAAUAUUCUAAAAUACUAAUUAUAAGUAAAAAAUGAAAAAGAAAAAAAAAAAUAGAAUAAUUACAAGAAAAUGACAAAGAAAAAAAGAAAAUAGAAUAAUAACAACAAAUUUAAAAUGCGACUGUAUUGUAUAAAGGAAACCAACUCAAUCAGUUUUCCAGUGUUACACUAGCACCACCUUUAUUAUUGUGAGAUCCUCAUAAUCCUAACAAGCAUCUCAUUCUUAUCAAAACAAUACGAAAAACCCUAUCAUAAUCAUUGGUGAUGCAAGAAUAAAAUUGAAAAUAAGAGGAAACACAAAUGAAUAGAGUGACAAAAUAAACAAGUUAGAGAUCUGUAACCUUCAAAAGAUCAACCUAUAUCAGAAAUCACUUGAUAUGUACAUUUGAUAGAUGAGAAAGAAAAUUACUCAUAAAAGAUGGAAAAAAAGGAAAAUAUGACAAUUUUUUAGCAUUACGUUUUUUUUACCCUUUGUAUUUGUUUUAUACAAUCAUAAAAUGAAUCAUUUUUCCAGUGUUACAUUAGCACCACCUGUAUUAUUGUGAGAUCCUCAUAAUCCUAACAAACAUCUCAAUAGGGUGACAAAACAAUAUGAAAACCCUAUCAUAAUCAUUGGUGACGCAAGAAUAAAAUUGAAAAUAAGAGGAAACACAGAUGAAUAGGGUGACAAAAUAAAAAAGGUAGAGAUGUGUAACCUUCAAAAGAUCAACCUAUAUCAGAAAUCACUUGAUCUGUACAUUUGAUAGAUAAGAAAGAAAAUUACUCAUAAAAGAUAGAAAAAAAAGGAAAAUAUGACAAUUUUUCAGCAGUACGUAUUUUUUUACCCUUUGUAUUUUGUUUAUACAAUCAUAAAGUGAUUAUGAACCAGAGAUUUCUAUUAAAUAUUGUAAGCUAAAUAUUUAUAUUAAGUAAAUCCUCAAUUAUAUAAAUCAAUCAAACAUUUAUUGAGUAACAAACCUUGACAUUAACUAGUUUAGAAAGAUAUGUAUUGAACAUCAAAAUUAAUUAAAUAUAUACUUAUAUCCUAAAGAACAUAAAAUGUCAUCUUCUAUAUUCUGAUAAUUAAACAAUUAACAUAAGUUAUAUAGAUUAAAAAAUAUGCUAAAAUACUAAUUAUAAGUAGAAAAUGAAAAAGAAAAAAAGAAAAAAGAAUAAUUACAAGAAAAUGAAAAAGAAAAAAUGAAAAUAGAAUAAUUACAAGAAAAUGAAAAUGUGACCGUAUGUUAUAAAGGAAACCAACUCAAUCAUUUUUCCAGUGUUACAUUAGCACCAUCUUUAUUAUUUUGAGAUCCUUAUAAUCCUAACAACCAUCUCAAUCUCAUCAAAAUAAUACGAAAACCCUAUCAUAAUCAUUGGUGACGCAAGAAUAAAAUUGAAAAUAAGAAGAAACACAGAUGAAUAGAGUGACAAAAUGAGAGAGUUAGAGAUGUGUAACCAUCAAAAGAUCAACCUAUAUCAGAAAUCACUUGAUCUGUACAUUUGAUAGAUAAGAAUGAAAAUUACUCAUAAAAGAUAGAAAAAAAAAGAUGACAUAUAUAUAAAUCAUAAAAUGAAUAUGAACCAGAGAUUUCUUUUAAAUAAAGUAAGCUAAAUAUUUUCAUUAAGUACAUCCCCAAUUAUAUAAAUCAAUCAAACAUGUAAUGAGUAAAAAACAUUGACAUUAAAUAAUUUAGAAAGAUAUGUAUUGAACAUGAAAAUUAAUUAAAUAUAUACUUGUAUGCUUAAGAACAUAAAAUGUCAUCUUCUAUAUUCUGAUAAUUAAACAAUUAACAUAAGUUAUACAGAUUAAAAAAUAUGCUAAAAUACUAAUUAUAAGUAGAAAAUGAGAAAGAAAAAAAGAAAAUAGAAUAAUAACAACAAAUUUAAAAUGAGAUCGUAUGGUAUAAGGGUAACCAAUUCAAUCAGUUUUCCAGUGUUACACUAGCACCACCUUUAUUAUUGUAAGAUCCUCAUAAUCCUAACAAACAUCUCAAUCUCAUCAAAACAAUACGAAAAACCCUAUCAUAAUCAUUGGUGAUGCAAGAAUAAAAUUUAAAAUAACAGGAAACACAAAUGAAUAGAGUGACCAAAUAAACAAGUUAGAGAUAUGUAACCUUCAAAAGAUAAACCUAUAUCAAAAAUUACUUGAUCUGUACAUUUGAUAGAUAAGAAAGAAAAUUACUCAUAAAAGAUAGAAAAAAAAAGGAAAAUAUGAAAAAAUUUCUGUUGUACGUUUUAUUUACCCUUUGUAUUUGUUUUAUACAAUCAUAAAGUGAUUAUAAAUCAGAGAUUUCUAUUAAAUAAUGUAAGCUAAAUAUUUUUAUUAAGUACAUCCUCAAUUAUAUAAAUCAAUCAAACAUGUAAUGAGUAACAAACUUUGAGAUUAAAUAGUUUAGAAAGAUAUGUAUUGAACAUCAAAAUUAAUUAAAUAUAUACUUGUAUCCUUAAGAACAUAAAAUGUCAUCUUCUAUAUUCUGAUAAUUAAAGAAUUAACAUAAGUUAUACAGAUUAAAAAAUAUGCUAAAAUAGUAAUUAUAAGUGGAAAAUGAAAAAGAAAAAAAGAAAAUAGAAUAAUUACAAGAAAAUGAAAAAGAAAAAAAGAAAAAAGAAUAAUUACAAGAAAAUGAAAAUGAGACGGUAUGUAAUAAAGGAAACCAACUCAAUCAUUUUUCCAGUGUUACAUUAGCCGUCCCUUUAUUAUUGUGAGAUCCUCAUAAUCAUAACAGACAUCUCAAUCUCAUCAAAACAAUAAGAAAAACUGUAUCAUAAUCAUUGGUGACGCAAGAAUAAAAUUGAAAUAAGAGGAAACACAAAUGAGUAGAGUGACAAAAUAAACAACUUAGAGAUGUGUAACCUUCGAAUGAUCAACCUAUUUCAGAUAUCACUUAAUCUGUACAUUUGAUAUAUAAGAAAGAAAAUUACUUAUAAAAGAUAGAAAAAAUGGAAAAUAUGACAAUUUUUCAGCAGUACGUAUUUUUUUACCCUUUGUAUUUUGUUUAUACAAUCAUAAAGUGAUUAUGAACCAGAGAUUUCUAUUAAAUAAUGUAAUCUAACUAUUUUUAUUAAGUAUAUGCUCAAUUUUAUAAAUCUAUCGAACAUGUAAAGAGUAACAAACAUUCAUUAAAUAGUUUAGAAACAUAAUUAUUGAACAUCAAAAUUAAUUAAAUAUAUACAUAUAUCCUUAAGAACAUAAAACGUCAUCUUCUAUAUUCUUAUAAUUAAACAAUUAACAUAAGUUAUAAAGAUAAACAAAAAUGCUAAUAUACUAAUUAUAAGUAGAAAUGAAAAAGAAAAAAAAGAAAAAAGAAUAAUUACAAGAAAAUGAAAAAGAAAAUAAGAAAAUAGAAUAAUUACAAGAAAAUGAAAAUAAGACCGUAUAAAGGAAACAUACUCAAACAUUUUUCCAGUGUUACACUAGCAUCAGCUUUGUUAUUGUGAGAUCCUCAUAAUCCUAACAAACAUCUCAAUCUCAUCAAAAAGUACGAAACACCCUAUCAUAAUCAUUGGUGACGCAAGAAUAAAAUUAAAAAUAAGAGGAAACACAAAUGAAUAGGGUGACAAAAUAAUAAAGGUAGAGAUGUGUAACCUUCCAAAGAUCAACCUAUAUUAGAAAUCACUUGAUUUGUACAUUUGAUAGAUAAGAAUGAAAAUUACUCAUAAAAGAUAGAAAAAAAGUAAAAUAUGACAAUUUUUUAGCAGGACGUAUUUUUUUAACCUUUGUAUUUUGUUUAUACAAUCAUAAAGUGAAUAUGAACCAGAGAUUUCUAUUAAAUAAUGUAAGCUAAAUAUUUUCAUUAAGUAUAUCCCCAAUUAUAUAAAUAAAUCAAACAUGUAAUGAGUAAAAACAAUUGACUUUAAAUAAUUUAGAGAGAUAUGUAUUGAACAUCAAAAUUAAAUAAAUAUAUACUUAUAUCCUUAAGAACAUAAAAUGUCAUCUUCUAUACUCUAAUAAUUAAACAAUUAAAAUAAGUUAUACAGAUUAAAAUAAACAAGUUAGAGAUCUGUAACCUUCAAAAGACCAACCUAUAUCAGAAAUCACUUGAUAUGUACAUUUGAUAGAUAAGAAAUAAACUUACUCAUAAAAGAUGGAAAAAAAGGAAAAUAUGACAAUUUUUCAGCAGUACAUUUUUUUUACCCUUUGUAUUUGUUUUAUACAAUCAUAAAGUGAUUAUCAAUCAGAGAUUUCUAUUAAAUAAUGUAAGCUAAAUAUUUUUUUUAAGUACAUCCUCAAUUAAAUAAAUCAAUCAAACAUGUAAUGAGUAACAAACUUUGACAUUAAAUAGUUUAGAAAGAUAUGUAUUGAACAUCAAAAUUAAUUAAAUAUAUACUUAUAUCCUUAAGAACAUAAAAUGUCAUCUUCUAUACACUAAUAAUUAAACAAUUAAAAUAAGUUAUACAGAUUAAAAAAUAUGCUAAAAUACUAAUUAUAAGUAGAAAAUGAAAAAGAAAAAAGAAUAACUACAAGAAAAUGAAAAAGAAAAAAAGAAAAUAGAAUAUUUAUAAGAAAAUUAAAAUGAGACACUAUGUAUUAAAGGAAACCAACUCAAGUUAGAGAUGUGUAACCUUCAAAAGAUUAACCUAUAUCAGAAAUCAAUUGUUCCGUACAUUUGAUAGAUAAGAAAUAAAAUUACUCAUAAAAGAUAGAAAAAAAAAGGAAAAUAUGACAAUUUUUCAGCAGUACGUAUUUUUUUACCCUUUGUAUUUUGUUUAUACAAUCAUAAAGUGAUUAUGAACCAGAGAUUUCUAUUAAGUAUUGUAAGCUAAAUAUUUAUAUUAAGUAAAUCCUCAAUUAUAUAAAUCAAUCAAACAUGUAAUGAGUAAUAAACCUUCACAUUAAUUAGUUAAGAAAAAUAUGUAUUGAACAUCAAAAUUAAUUAAAUAUAUACUUAUAUCCUAAACAACAUAAAAUGUCAUCUUCUAUAUUCUAAUAAGUAAACGAUUAACAUAAGUUAUAUAGAUUAAAAAAUAUGCUAAAAUACUAAUUAUAAGGAGAAAGUUAAAAAGAAAAAAAGAAAAAAGAAUAAUUACAAGAAAAUGAAAAAGAAAAAAAGAAAAAAGAAUAAUUACAAGACAAUGAAAAUGCGACCGUAUGUAUUAAAGGAAACCAACCCAAUCAUUUUUCUAGUGUUACAUUAGCACCAACUUUAUUAUUGUGAGAUCCUAAUAAUCCGAACAAACAUCUUAAUCUCAUCAAAACAAUACGAAAAACCCUAUCAUAAU